rnacentral:rRNA from 1 species
AUUGAACGCUGGCGGCAUGCUUUACACAUGCAAGUCGAACGGUAACAGGUUAAGCUGACGAGUGGCGAACGGGUGAGUAAUGCAUCGGAACGUGCCCGGUCGUGGGGGAUAACGCAGCGAAAGCUGCGCUAAUACCGCAUACGAUCUGAGGAUGAAAGCGGGGGACCGUACGGCCUCGCGCGAUCGGAGCGGCCGAUGUCAGAUUAGGUAGUUGGUGGGGUAAAGGCUCACCAAGCCAACGAUCUGUAGCCGGUCUGAGAGGACGACCAGACAGACUGGGAGUGAGACACGGCCCAGGUUCCUACGGGGGACAGCAGUGGGGAAUUUUGGACAAUGGGCGAAAGCCUGAUCCAGCAAUGCCGCGUGCAGGAAGAAGGCCUUCGGGUUGUAAACUGCUUUUGUACGGAGCGAAAAGGUCUCCUCUAAUACAGGGGGCUCAUGACGGUACCGUAAGAAUAAGCACCGGCUAACUACGUGCCAGCAGCCGCCGUAA